rnacentral:rRNA from 1 species
GCUGGCGGCGUGCUUAACACAUGCAAGUCGAACGGAAAGGCCCUGCUUUUGUGGGGUGCUCGAGUGGCGAACGGGUGAGUAACACGUGAGUAACCUGCCCUUGACUUUGGGAUAACUUCAGGAAACUGGGGCUAAUACCGGAUAGGAGCUCCUGCUGCAUGGUGGGGGUUGGAAAGUUUCGGCGGUUGGGGAUGGACUCGCGGCUUAUCAGCUUGUUGGUGGGGUAGUGGCUUACCAAGGCUUUGACGGGUAGCCGGCCUGAGAGGGUGACCGGCCACAUUGGGACUGAGAUACGGCCCAGACUCCUACGGGAGGCAGCAGUGGGGAAUAUUGCACAAUGGGCGGAAGCCUGAUGCAGCAACGCCGCGUGCGGGAUGACGGCCUUCGGGUUGUAAACCGCUUUCGCCUGUGACGAAGCGUGAGUGACGGUAAUGGGUAAAGAAGCACCGGCUAACUACGUGCCAGCAGCCGCGGUGAUACGUAGGGUGCGAGCGUUGUCCGGAUUUAUUGGGCGUAAAGGGCUCGUAGGUGGUUGAUCGCGUCGGAAGUGUAAUCUUGGGGCUUAACCCUGAGCGUGCUUUCGAUACGGGUUGACUUGAGGAAGGUAGGGGAGAAUGGAAUUCCUGGUGGAGCUGUGGAAUGCGCAGAUAUCAGGAGGAACACCAGUGGCGAAGGCGGUUCUCUGGGCCUUUCCUGACGCUGAGGAGCGAAAGCGUGGGGAGCGAACAGGCUUAGAUACCCUGGUAGUCCACGCUGUAAACGGUGGGUACUAGGUGUGGGGUCCAUUCCACGGGUUCCGUGCCGUAGCUAACGCUUUAAGUACCCCGCCUGGGGAGUACGGCCGCAAGGCUAAAACUCAAAGGAAUUGACGGGGCCCCGCACAAGCGGCGGAGCAUGCGGAUUAAUUCGAUGCAACGCGUAGAACCUUACCUGGGUUUGACAUGGAUCGGGAGUGCUCAGAGAUGGGUGUGCCUCUUUUGGGGUCGGUUCACAGGUGGUGCAUGGCUGUCGUCAGCUCGUGUCGUGAGAUGUUGGGUUAAGUCCCGCAACGAGCGCAACCCUUGUUCACUGUUGCCAGCACGUUAUGGUGGGGACUCAGUGGAGACCGCCGGGGUCAACUCGGAGGAAGGUGGGGAUGACGUCAAGUCAUCAUGCCCCUUAUGUCCAGGGCUUCACGCAUGCUACAAUGGCUGGUACAGAGAGUGGCGAGCCUGUGAGGGUGAGCGAAUCUCGGAAAGCCGGUCUCAGUUCGGAUUGGGGUCUGCAACUCGACCUCAUGAAGUCGGAGUCGCUAGUAAUCGCAGAUCAGCAACGCUGCGGUGAAUACGUUCCCGGGGCUUGUACACACCGCCCGUCAAGUCAUGAAAGUUGGUAACACCCGAAGCCGGAGGCCUAACCGUUGUGGGGGAGCCGUCGAAGGUGGGACUGG